CUACUUCUGAGGAGUCCCACAAUAGGACGAAACGGCCGUAGAGUGU
rnacentral:hammerhead_ribozyme from 1 species